AUGAGUGGUGAGUUGGCUCCAAGUAAAAGCACAGAGCAUAUAUCCACCUCACCUGUUUCCUGACAAAUAAUGACUUAUACUGCGUAUUUUCCAAGCAUGGCAAAGUUGUAAAGGUUACUAUAAUGAAAUAUAAAGAUACCAGGAAGAGUAAAGAGGUUGCAUUUAUUUUAUUUUUGGAUAAAAUAAUCUGUACAAAACAGUACUAGGGCAAUAAACAACAGUUAUUUGGUAGAGUGAUAAAAGCAAGCAUCACUAUUGACAACAGAAGAGCAGCCGAGUUCACCCAAAGGCAGAACUACUUUGAUGAAUCUAAGUGUUAUGUUUGUGGGAAAAGUGGACACCUAAGUUACGCCUGUCUGAAAAAUAUGCUUGAAGAACGUGAACCUCCAAAGAAGAAAGAAAAAAAAAGAAAGUUCCUGAACCAGUAGAAGAAACUGCAGAAGUAGAAGACAGUGAAGAUUAAGGGGAGAAUCCUAGUCUUGACAGCCUUAUGCCACAGCAUUCCAAAAAGCCAAAACUGAGGAGAAAGAAAAGAAGAAAAAAGAAAAUCCAGUUCAGGAGGUCCCUCAACAUCAGAUGAUUCAAGACGCUCAAGAAUAAAGAAAAGCACAUAUUUCAGUGAUAAGGAAGAACUCAAGUGAUUAAAAUUGCAUUUAUUGGCCAGGCGCAGUGACUCACACCUGUAAUCCCAGCACUUUGGGAGGCCUAGGCGGGCAGAUCACCAGGUCGGGAGA